rnacentral:tRNA from 1 species
CCACUCGUGGUGAAGGGGUAACGCGCCCAAUCUAGCGAACAGGUAGUCGUGAGUUCGAUUCUCACCGAGAAGA